UGGCUCAGAGGUUAAAGCGUCUGCUUGAAAUGCAGGAGACUUGGGUUCGAUCCCUGA
rnacentral:tRNA from 1 species